GCUGGUGUGUCGGAAUGGCAGACGAGGAAGACUCAAAAUCUUUUGUAGGUGACUACGUGCGGGUUCAAGUCCCGCCACCAGCA
rnacentral:tRNA from 1 species